GUGGGGAAUAUUGGACAAUGGGCGCAAGCCUGAUCCAGCAACGCCGCGUGGAGGACGAAGGUCUUCGGAUCGUAAACUCCUGUCAGGCGGGACGAAGGCAGGCGGGUGAACAGUCCGCCUGUUUGACGGUACUGCCAGAGGAAGCCCCGGCUAACUCCGUGCCAGCAGCCGCGGUAAUACGGAGGGGGCGAGCGUUAUUCGGAAUUAUUGGGCGUAAAGGGCGCGUAGGCGGCCACUUAAGUCAAAGGUGAAAUCCCUCGGCUCAACUGAGGAACUGCCUUUGAAACUGUGUGGCUCGAGUCCGGGAGGGGGUAGCGGAAUUCCCAGUGUAGCGGUGAAAUGCGUAGAUAUUGGGAGGAACACCAGUGGCGAAGGCGGCUACCUGGACCGGAACUGACGCUGAGGCGCGAAAGCGUGGGUAGCAAACAGGAUUAGAAACCCGAGUAGUCC
rnacentral:rRNA from 1 species